GAGUAGAACAAGAAAAGAACACUUGAUUCAGAUACUCUCAAGAUUCCUAAAGGACCAGAGAUCAUUUCUCAUUGUUCUACAAGCACUUAUGUCAGGGAGCAUCCAGACAAAAGCUCUCCCACCAAUCUCCAGAAAAUCUAUGAAGAUUAAUGAGAUAGAAAAUCAAAACAAUGCAAUGGCAGUUGAGAAUAAAGGUGACGCUAAUCAUUA